rnacentral:rRNA from 1 species
GCGACCCCAGAUCAGGCGGGACUACCCGCUGAGUUUAAGCAUAUCAAUAAGCGGAGGAAAAGA